rnacentral:lncRNA from 1 species
UUUGGAUCUUCUGUAGGCAUAUUCGUUCUAGUAAUGGUAGGCCGGUUUGGAAAAUAUCCUGCAAAAUCGUAUUGACCAAAGUUUACAGCAGCAUGGUGUCCUGAAGCUACCCAAAUAAUGGUUGUGAGGAUUCCUAUUAGAUCACCCGGAGUUUCUAACACCGGCCACCAGGACUCGUCCUUCUUGUCUGCAUGGCCUUUUGUUCGAAUUUCAGUCCACCAUUCUUGGAGUUCAACGUCAGAUUGUACAAGGUUUGCUUCUGGAUAGUAGUAAGUGACAUAGUCUGUAACCCAUUUCUUAAUGGCAUCCCAAAUAAGUAAACCAUCGUUGGCAUAAGGAUAAUCUUCGAUUGCUAGUUUCAAGCCAUGUGGAGCUGCCGGAUCCUCCACCGCCAUUCCCCUGCGCAUUCCAGUAGUAAAAAUAUUCAGAUCUGCUUACAAUCUUACAUAUUGCAGACUAAAUUUCAAUAAAUAACGUUACUCUUUUCUAUAAGCUAUGAGGUGGUUCAUCAUCGUACCUGCUAAUUAGAUCAGCUGGCAGUGCUUGAAGAUCAAACUGCCAUAGCUGGUCGUAGGCAGCAGAGCUGACCUCCAAUGAGUAUUUCCGGGGGGUGAAUCCCUUCUCGAUGACUCCAUUUGCAUUAAUAAGAGCCUCACGAGCUAAAGCAUUGAUCUCCAUAGUGUAUCGCAAAUGAGGAUGUAAUAGUUUGUAAACCGGGUGCAUCGCACUUAGUUGUCGAUUUGUUGCAAUUACGUAAGGCUCCGUACAACAAU